GACGAACGCUGGCGGCGUGCUUAACACAUGCAAGUCGAGCGGUAAGGCCCUUUCGGGGGUACACGAGCGGCGAACGGGUGAGUAACACGUGGGUGACCUGCCCUCAGCUCUGGGAUAAGCCCGGGAAACUGGGUCUAAUACCGGAUAUGACUCCAUGACGCAUGUUGUGGGGUGGAAAGCCUUGUGCGGCUGAGGAUGGGCCCGCGGCCUAUCAGCUUGUUGGUGGGGUGAUGGCCUACCAAGGCGACGACGGGUAGCCGGCCUGAGAGGGCUACCGGCCACACUGGGACUGAGACACGGCCCAGACUCCUACGGGAGGCAGCAGUGGGGAAUCUUGCGCAAUGGGCGAAAGCCUGACGCAGCGACGCCGCGUGAGGGAUGACGGCCUCGG
rnacentral:rRNA from 1 species